rnacentral:rRNA from 1 species
UUAAAUUGAAGAGUUUGAUCAUGGCUCAGAUUGAACGCUGGCGGCAGGCUUAACACAUGCAAGUCGAACGGUAACAGGAAGCAGCUUGCUGCUUUGCUGACGAGUGGCGGACGGGUGAGUAAUGUCUGGGAAACUGCCUGAUGGAGGGGGAUAACUACUGGAAACGGUGGCUAAUACCGCAUAACGUCGCAAGACCAAAGAGGGGGACCUUCGGGCCUCUUG